rnacentral:misc_RNA from 1 species
GAAUGAAGAACGUAGCGAAAUGCGAUACGUAAUGUGAAUUGCAAAUUCAGUGAAUCAUCGAGUCUUUGAACGCACAUUGCGCCCCCUGGUAUUCCGGGGGGCAUGCCUGUCCGAGCGUCAUUGCUGCCCUCAAGCACGGCUUGUGUGUUGGGCCCCGUCCUCCGAUCCCGGGGGACGGGCCCGAAAGGCAGCGGCGGCACCGCGUCCGGUCCUCGAGCGUAUGGGGCUUUGUCACCCGCUCUGUAGGCCCGGCCGGCGCUUGCCGAUCAACCCAAAUUUUUAUCCAGGUUGACCUCGGAUCAGGUAGGGAUACCCGCUGAACUUAAGCAUAUCAAUAAGCGGAGGA